UUUGGAGGUUGUGCCCUUGAGGCGUGGCUUCCGGAGCUAACGCGUUAAAUCGACCGCCUGGGGAGUACGGCCGCAAGGUUAAAACUCAAAUGAAUUGACGGGGGCCCGCACAAGCGGUGGAGCAUGUGGUUUAAUUCGAUGCAACGCGAAGAACCUUACCUACUCUUGACAUCCAGAGAACUUUCCAGAGAUGGAUUGGUGCCUUCGGGAACUCUGAGACAGGUGCUGCAUGGCUGUCGUCAGCUCGUGUUGUGAAAUGUUGGGUUAAGUCCCGCAACGAGCGCAACCCUUAUCCUUUGUUGCCAGCGAUUCGGUCGGGAACUCAAAGGAGACUGCCGGUGAUAAACCGGAGGAAGGUGGGGAUGACGUCAAGUCAUCAUGGCCCUUACGAGUAGGGCUACACACGUGCUACAAUGGCGUAUACAAAGAGAAGCAAGCUCGCGAGAGCAAGCGGACCUCAUAAAGUACGUCGUAGUCCGGAUUGGAGUCUGCAACUCGACUCCAUGAAGUCGGAAUCGCUAGUAAUCGUAGAUCAGAAUGCUACGGUGAAUACGUUCCCGGGCCUUGUACUACCGGCCCGUC
rnacentral:rRNA from 1 species